GACGUAGGGCGCGAGCGUUGUCCGGAUUUAUUGGGCGUAAAGAGCUCGUAGGCGGCUUGUCGCGUCGACUGUGAAAACCCGCGGCUUAACUGCGGGCCUGCAGUUGAUACGGGCAGGCUAGAGUUCGGUAGGGGAGACUGGAAUUCCUGGUGUAGCGGUGAAAUGCGUAGAUAUCGGGAGGAAUACCUAUGGCGAAAGCAGGCUACUGGACCGUCACUGACUCUGAUCUGCGAAAGCUAGGGGAGCAAACAGG
rnacentral:rRNA from 1 species